UACCAUUUUAACUAUUUUUAAGCAUACAAUUCAGUUCAUAUUGUUGUGCAACCAAUCACCACCAUUCAUUUCCAGAACUUUUUCAUCUUCCCAAACUGAAAUUUUGUACCUGCUAAAUAAUAACUCCCCAUUUUCCCCCUCCCUCUAGCCCUUGGCAACCACUGUUUUACUUUCUAUGUCUAUGAAUUUUACUACUCUAGGUGUCUCAUAUAAGUGGAAUCAUAGGAUUUGUCCUUUCAAUGUCUGCUUCUUUCUGUUAGCACAAUACUGUCAAGUUUUAUCUCUGUUGUUGCUUAUAGCAGACUUUCCUUUCUUUCAAGGCUGAAUAAUAGUCCAUUGUAUGGAUAGACCACAUUUUGUUUAUCUAUUCAUCAGUCGAUGGACAUUUGGGCUGUUUCCACCUCUGGGCUAUUGUGAAUCCUGCUGUAAUGAGCAUAGGCGUACAAGCAUCUCCUUGCCUUUGCCGCCUUCUUCAGAGAAGUAUUUAAGGUCAAACAGUGGGGAAGUGUCCUUCUUCAGGGGCUCACCCUGCAGCCUCUAGCUUGAUUUUUAUCCCACGUCACAGUGAAUGGGCCUCGUCAGUCCAGCCAGGUCUAAGGAUACAACAAGACCAUCAGCUUGGCGGAGUACCUACGGGCAGCUAUGAAUUCUGCAAAGGAAAUGAGAGGGGACAAACAGGACAAAGAGGCAGCGUGACCAGGCCACUGCGAGUCCUAUAUUUCAACAAGGAAACAGGAUCUGAAAGCCAAUCGCUGAGCCUCCUGGGCCAUACACUGUCCCACCAUUUCAGAAGAAACUCAGUGAGGAGAGGGCAGAGGGAGAAUAUGUCCAGCAUCUCAGCCUCAUUGUUUUCCACUUGGCAGCCCCCUCCGGUUCAGGAUUCAUUUGAAGCAGCCCACAGGGACGGGUGACACUGAGGAAACAAAACCCAGGCCCUCCGGCCUCCGACCGAGCGGUGCAGAGCAUGCUGGGAGAUCACUUCCACCUGAGGAGCACAAAAGACCCCAGGAGUGGAGGAAGCUGGCCUGAGGCCAACCGGAUGUAGCAGACUUGCUGGGCCCAAGGAGGGAGGUCUGGUGAUGGAGCCUCGAGUACAUAUCCUUCCAAUCCUAAGGUAAACAGCGCUUGGGGCUUUGGCUACAGGGAGGGCGUGGCCCAUUGAAGUGGCUGGUACAAGGCAGGCCUUCUGAUUUUUUUUUAAACUGUCUUAUGAAUUAUACUGUACCUACAGAAAAAACACAACAGGAAACUUAAAUGAAUGGCUCAGUGAAAUUGCAAACGUUUGCCCAGAUCAAGACCUAAGAUGUUAGCACUUUGGAAAUCUCCCUCCUGCCCUCUCUAAAUUGUUAUCCUUCAUCCAUCCCUGUCCCCAAAAGUGACCUCUUUCUGGAUUGUAAACAUCAGUUUUGUCUGCUUUUGCACUUAAUAUAAAUACAAUGCAUUCCUUUUUUUUUUUUUUUUUUUUUUUUUGAGACGGAGUCUCGCUCAGUCGCCCAGGCUGGAGUGCAGUGGCGCGAUCUCGGCUCACUGCAAGCUCCGCCUCCCGAGUUCACGCCAUUCUCCUGCCUCAGCCUCCCGAGUAGCUGGGACUACAGGAGCCCGUUACCACGCCCGACUAGUUUUUUGUAGUUUUUAGUAGAGACGGGGUUUCACCGUGUUAGCCAGGAUGGUCUCGAUCUCCUGACCUCGUGAUCCGCCCGUCUCGGCCUCCCAAAGUGCUGGGAUUACAGGCUUGAGCCACCGCGCCCGGCCAAAUACAAUGCAUUCUUUUGUGACCGAUUUAUUUUCCCAAACACUGUGUAUGCAAGCUUCCUUUCUGUUGUGUCUGAAGUUUUGUUUAUCACCGAAUGUCAUUUUGUUGCAUAAUGAUAUAAUUAUUGAUUGAUUCUUCUGUUGAGGGGUAUUUGAUUUAUUUGGGGGUUAAUGUGAAUAGUAUCAUUAUGAAUAUUCUUUUUGCUCUCUCAGUACGCUCAUUUCUGUUAGGUACAUACCUAGAAAUGGAAUUGCUCAGUUAAAGCAUGCAUGUAUAUUUUUAUGCAUGUCAAAAUGUUUUCAAAAGUGUUUACACCAAAUGAUAUUCUUACCAUCAAUGUGUAAGAGUUCAGGUUGUUCCACAUACUUGUUAGCACUUGGCAUCGUCUGUAUUUUGAAUUGGUAGCAGUUCUGGUAAGUGUGUAGUAGUAUCUCAUUGUGGCUGUAACUAGCAUUACUAUGAUUGUUAUUGAGGCUGACCAACAGUUUAUAUGUUUGCCAUUCUUUUGGAGAUCUUUUAUGAAAUGCCGUUUAAGUCUUCUGCCCAUUUUUAAAAACUGGGUUAUCUCUCUUUUUCUUACUGAUUUCUGAAGCUGUUUACAUAUUCUGAAAAUGAGUCUUUACUAGGUGAUAAGUGUUGCAAAUAUCUUUUUCUUUUCUGUUACUUGACUUUUCACUGUUUUAAUAGUGUGUCUUUAUGAACAGAAGUUCUUAUUUUAUAUACACAUACACACACACACACAUAUAUGUAUAUAUUUCCUUUAAAUUUGAUUUUUGGGGGGUGUCUUUUGUUUUUGUUUAAGAAAUCAUUCCCUGCCUGAAUAAAAAUUAAAAAAAAAUCUCCUAUAGUAUUUUCUAGAAGUUUUAUUGUUUUUACUUCCAUAUUUAGAUAUACAAUAUAUCUAGAUAUACAAUAUAUCAUUUUGUUCUUUGAUUUUCUCACAUCAUACAGCCUUCUUUUCUAUUCCUGGGAUACCCCUGAAUCCCAUGUCAGAAAAGACAUGCACCUUUAUGACUUAUCAGCAAAAGUGAUAGCAACAACAACAAUAAUAAUAACCGAGAUGUGUGCAAGACCUCGUGACACACAUUUCCAUCCAUUACUGAUUUAAUUCUUUCAUAUCAGCCCUUGGACACUGUUGAAGUGAGCAUCAUAAUGCCCAUUUUAAAGAUAGAAAGAGUGAGCCUUAGAGAAAAGUAACUUGCCCAAGUUCACAUGGCUGAUAAUUAGCAGAACAAGGAGAUUCAAGUAUAGAUCUGCCUGAUUCCAAAAUAUAUUCUCCUUUUAUCCCCUGGUGUUGAUUAAGAUGCCUUGAGAUAAUCAAGUCCCUGUUACUUAUAGAUUUGUGUUAAGGUUUUCCAAGAAUCUUACAGGAAUUUUGUGUGCAGCCAAAAAAUUCCUGGUAUUCCCAUGAUGUCAUUGGACUGAGAUGUAGAAUAGGUUUCUUUUUAUGUCAUCUGCAGUCGAGGUACACCAGAGAACUGAGUCAUCAGAGGGUUGACAUUUUGCCUUGCCUAGGGAAAUAAGAGUUUCUUUACCUCUGGUCCUCCCUCAUCCUCUGAGAAUCCUCAAAUGCUUUUUAAUAGCCUGGCUGAUCUGAUGGUAAAUGAUACAAGCAGCAGCUUUUAAAAAUCUGAGUUGUUGCUUCUGAGUGUUAGAAAUGCCUCUAGAGUUUGGAAGUUAAAGCCAAAGCAGAUGGAUAAACACUGGUAGCUGCCGAAGGUGGUGCACGAUGUCAAUGGAGAACAGGCAAGGUAGGUCUUCCGUAGGGGACAGCCAUUGUUUGACCUGGCAGCACUCUCACUUAUUCAGGGACUGGUACUCCUUUGAUAAAUUGCUCCUGCUUCUUCUCUAAACAUAUGGUUUGAAUAGAGGCUGCCCAGAUUAGCUCCCCACCCUCUUGGACUGGGUGAUUGGUGCAGCAUUGGACACACCAUCCAACAGAGCCAAUGAGGUGCCUUCCCUGGGAUUUUUCCAACCAAAGCAGGAAAGACUCUCUGUUCCUAUUUUGAUGCAUCUCUGAGGAACACUUCCCAGGCAAUAAAUAUCUAUGAAAUGAAUGAAUGAAUCCCCACUGCCAAGUGAACUCUCAGAGGGUAUCUCAGUACAUAGUGAGAAUGUAUCGUGCUUUUGGAUAAGUACGUGAAUAAAUUAGGAGAGCAUGCGUGUGUUCAUAAACA
ensembl:lncRNA